GAUGAACGCUGGCGGCGUGCCUAAUACAUGCAAGUCGAGCGAACAGACGAGGAGCUUGCUCCUCUGACGUUAGCGGCGGACGGGUGAGUAACACGUGGAUAACCUACCUAUAAGACUGGGAUAACUUCGGGAAACCGGAGCUAAUACCGGAUAAUAUAUUGAACCGCAUGGUUCAAUAGUGAAAGACGGUUUUGCUGUCACUUAUAGAUGGAUCCGCGCCGCAUUAGCUAGUUGGUAAGGUAACGGCUUACCAAGGCGACGAUGCGUAGCCGACCUGAGAGGGUGAUCGGCCACACUGGAACUGAGCCACGGUCCAGACUCCUACGGGAGGCAGCAGUAGGGAAUCUUCCGCAAAGGGCGAAAGCCUGACGGAGCAACGCCGCGUGAGUGAUGAAGGUCUUCGGAUCGUAAAACUCUGUUAUUAGGGAAGAACAAAUGUGUAAGUAACUAUGCACGUCUUGACGGUACCUAAUCAGAAAGCCACGGCUAACUACGUG
rnacentral:rRNA from 1 species